rnacentral:rRNA from 1 species
GCAGCCUGAUGCAGCGACGCCGCGUGAGGGAUGACGGCCUUCGGGUUGUAAACCUCUUUCAGCAGGGACGAAGCGCAAGUGACGGUACCUGUAGAAGAAGCACCGGCCAACUACGUGCCAGCAGCCGCGGUAAUACGUAGGGUGCGAGCGUUGUCCGGAAUUACUGGGCGUAAAGAGCUCGUAGGUGGUUUGUCGCGUUGUUCGUGAAAACUCACAGCUCAACUGUGGGCGUGCGGGCGAUACGGGCAGACUUGAGUACUGCAGGGGAGACUGGAAUUCCUGGUGUAGCGGUGGAAUGCGCAGAUAUCAGGAGGAACACCGGUGGCGAAGGCGGGUCUCUGGGCAGUAACUGACGCUGAGGAGCGAAAGCGUGGGGAGCGAACAGGAUUAGAUACCCUGGUAGUCCACGCCGUAAACGGUGGGUACUAGGUGUGGGUUUCCUUCCUUGGGAUCCGUGCCGUAGCUAACGCAUUAAGUACCCCGCCUGGGGAGUACGGCCGCAAGGCUAAAACUCAAAGAAAUUGACGGGGGCCCGCACAAGCGGCGGAGCAUGUGGAUUAAUUCGAUGCAACGCGAAGAACCUUACCUGGGUUUGACAUGCACAGGACGCCGGCAGAGAUGUCGGUUCCCUUGUGGCC